rnacentral:rRNA from 1 species
GAUCCUGGCUCAGGAUGAACGCUGGCGGCGUGCCUAACACAUGCAAGUCGAACGAAGCGAUUUAACGGAAAUUUUCGGAUGGAAGUUGAAUUGACUGAGUGGCGGACGGGUGAGUAACGCGUGGGUAACCUGCCUUGUACUGGGGGACAACAGUUAGAAAUGACUGCUAAUACCGCAUAAGCGCACAGUAUCGCAUGAUACCGUGUGAAAAACUCCGGUGGUACAAGAUGGACCCGCGU